GCAUCUAAUGGCAUCAAGACAGGUGUGUCUUGAUUCCUCAACCUGUCUGUCUGGGGCACAGGUAAUGAAACAUGGACUCUGAAGCCAAAAGCCUGGGAUCUGUAUGACAGCUUGGACACUUAAUAACCACUGACCUCAGAGAAGUUACUUUACCUCCUCUGCCAGAAUAUUCUCAUCUGUAGAAAGAGGAUACUAACCAUCUCAAAUAGCUGUUGUGAGGAUUAAAUGCAUGGUGAAACACUUAAAACAGGGCCUGGCACGUGGCAAAUGCCAACUUUCCUGCUGAUCACAGUGUUAAGUCUCCCAGCGACUUCUGAAGGUCUCUUCUUGGCAAUUCUCAUGCUACGUGAUACCAAAAACAUCCUGUAAGCCUCUGUGGCACCGGAGAGAGGCAGGAUGAGGCCAAGCCAGUCUGUUCCAUGUUCCAGCAAUGACAGUGCACAGGGCAAACCAUGUGGAGAUAAUUGCCAGAAUUGGGGCAACUACCAAUGCCCAGUGCCAGCCAACUACAUCUGUGAAGCCCACCAGAGAAAUGGUGUGAUUGCUAUGUGCACGAGGGAGGCAGGACUAGGGGACCCAAUUUGGUCUGAGCCCAGGGUGGAGACUAGAUGAAUCCUAAUUUAGAAAGUACUAUAAUUGAGUCUGUCUCGGCUCUGUUUCCAAUAUAUAAAAUGGAAGCAAUUUAAUGGAAUUUAGCAUUUCAGAUUUAAAAGAUAUAGCCAGAAAAGGGGCUAGGAUUUUUGCGUUAUGAACCUUGAAUAUCCUAUUUCUCUAAUUACGGGAUUUCUUUUUCCAAUCAUAUUUUUCUUGUAACUCAAAUUCAGUCUGCUUUAGAAAGAAUCAUGAUUUAAGAAAAUCCAAAGUUAUAAAUAAGAUAAAAUCAGAAA